GCAGAGGAAAUAAAAUAUGACUGAAAUUAUUAAGUUUAUUUAUCUUAUUAUGAUCAUAUUUAUUUUCCUAUUUCUUGUUGUAAUUGAAAGUUUAACAAUUCCGGAAUGCUAUGAUGAUGAAGAUUGUCCACAUAUGUGUCUCUAUCCUAGAAAUAGAACAUGCAUUUGGUAUUAUUGUACUUGCAUUUAACAGUGCAAAAGCAUAUUACUUACAUUGCUGCCUUAAUGAUGAGGAACUAAAAUGAUAUUUAGUAUAUAUAUAAUAAGAUUUUAGAAGAAUUUUUUAUUUAAUAAUUUGUAUUUUUUAAAAAAUGAAUUUAAUUUGUAUUUAAUUUGAUUGUAAUGGAUUUAGCUAUUUUAAUCAAGUGGUGCUCAAUAAAAGCUGACAGAAUUGGCUUUAUGGCCUAUUUUAUAAAU